CGGCCAACGUGAGCGCCGGAGGCUUAAAGCGCGGCGGUCCUCGCCGGCGACCCCACGAUGGCUACCGAGCAGUGGUUCGUGGAGCCGCUCCCCCCGGGCCCUGGGGAAACACCGCCCCCGGACGACUUGGAAGCUGGGGCGCAGCUCUGCGGAGACGCCUCCUGGUUGGCGUCCCCUGGCGGACCUGGGGAUCCACCGGAGGCGGAACCGGAGGACGUCCAGGGGCAGCUGCAGGAGGCCUCUACCGCUACUCCUUCCCCCGAGCCUCUGGCCCCGGGGCCCGCCCCGCCUCGCCUCCCCUUGGACACCAUGUUCAGCCCCAUCACGGAACAGCUCCGCUACCUGCUCAAGAAGGCAGAUGAUUUCCAGAGCUACUUACUUUACAGGGACCGCGUGCAGAAGGAACAGCUGGCCAAGGCCAUGCCCACCUUCUUACAGAUGUGUGAGCCCUACUUUCUCUACCUGGAGGCAGCUGCACGGAGUGUGCCCCCCAUCUACGGAGCCCUGCAGGAGCUGGUCCGAAAGGGGCUGUUGGAGAUAUCCCAACAGCUGACCCUGCGCCUGGAACAGCUGGUCCUCAUGUAUGCCUCCUUUGGGUUCGUGGACCUGGAGGAGACUGACCCCCUAAGCAUCUCCUGUUUCUUCUGUGGGAGGUUCUCCAUCAGCCCUUCCCAUGAAGUGUCCAUCUUCAGAUACUGUGCCCCAGCCGCCUACACCGCCAGCCGCUUCCCCCGAUACCUCUAUAAGAAGAUGCGAUGGAACCUGGAAACCACCCCAGAGCCCAGUGGCAGGGGGCAAGAUUCCCAUGUGGAUUACUACUUCCUGUGCUAUCGAGAUACAUGGGAAGACACAGGCAAGAGCCCGGCCAAUUCGUGCCCCCAGAUCCAGAAGCUGUGGUCCAUUGGCCGCUGGGUGCCGCUGGGACCUGCGGAGGAUGACCUUUAUUCAUGGGAAACCACUUUCCCCCCAGGGUUCUUCCCACCCCCAGCUGAAACAAAGCCUCUUUCAGCCACAGCCUCUCACUCGAGGGGAGGGGCUCCCGAGGAGCAGGGGGCGCUCACGUCCAGGCCUGUCUGUCCUGGCCCCCAGGAUUUUGUGCCCGCAGCCGCCGGGAGACUACCAGCAGCUGCUGACCAUCGGCUUCGAGGAGCCCUCGCACAUGCUGGCCACCGACCUGCUGGUGCAGAUUCUCACCGGCCAGGCAGGCCCGGCCCGGCCCCCGAGCGCGGCCGGGCCCGCGGCGUGGGCCGCGCAGGGGUCUUGAGCCUGGAGAGAGGAUGGGAGCUGGAGCUUGACAGUUCCAAACUCCAGGAGAGGGAGCAGGGGAGGGGCUCACUCGUUCUCCCAGGGCACCUCGGCCUCGCCUUCCAAAGGGCCGGGCCGAGCUGGCCAGUCCGCGCCGGGUCCGGCCCGGCCGCGGAGCACUGCGCGUGGACACACCAGUUUUGCGUUAAAUAAAAGAAAGAAAGAGGUCACAGGCUCAGCGUCCGCUCCGAGUGCCGCGCCCCACCCCUUGGGGCGAGGAGCCCCGCCCACUCGCGCGGCCUUCUGGGAAAUGUAGUCUUUGAAACAAAAACGAAGUCCCCUCGACUGGCGGACAAGCACACGGGGCAUGCGCAGAGGCGCACAUGAAGCUAAAAGGGAAGUAGCAGCGCCUGUCAACAACCGGAACCCAAAAAACCGCAAGUUUUGGGUAGCCGGGAAAUUCAACGCCCAAUGGGGGAAGGGACCCCGGAGCCACGCCCACUCUCGUAUUUUGACCCGGAAGUGACUUUUUUACCGAAAAGACUAUAUUUCCCGACGUGCCCCCGGAAAGGGCCCGGGAUCAGUUUCCUAAAGGCCGGAGUCGAACCUUCCUCUUGCAGCUUUUGGAUCGUGGAGCGGGCAGGUCGUCCUACACCGCGGGGUGUCCGGGGCGCUGGCGGGUGGGAAAGCCGUAAGGAUCUCCAAGUUGGGAUCUCUAAGCGUAGCUCCGACCUUGGACUGGAAAGGAGACCCAGGUUGGGAGAGGUGAACUCACCUGCUCAAAGCUCCGGCGAGCAAGUGGCGGAGCUCGAACCUGAACUGGGUCUUUGCGAUUGCAGCUGGUCCCUUGCGAGAGGAAGGGUGGCCUUCCUGACCCGCUGUCACUCAUCUGCGAGGUACCCCUCCUUUAAGUCGUACCUUUUCGUUCCUUGCAGCUUUUUUUGAGUGGGAGCAGAGACCUAACCUUGACCCUUUUGAGCAAAGCACUCGCUUACCUAAAACUCGCUUACCUGGCACACAGUAUUGUAAGCCCCUGUUUAAGAUGACAAAAAGAGACGUGUGAAGUAAAAUGAAUCAGGAUCGGAAAGCAAAACCCUUGGUCUUUUUUAGGGGGCCGUGUGUGUGUGUACAGUUUCUGACUUCAAGGAUUGUUUAAUCUGAAUGAGUUAAAGGGGUUUCUGAAACUCCCUCAUACUGUGUUAGCCCCUGUGAAUUACACACAUACAUUGUAAGACUCUUCAGCUUGGUUCAAUAGAAAUUUAAAUUGAGCCACAAAUGCAAGUCACAUACGUUAUUUCAAACUUCCUAGUAACCACAUUUUUUAAAAUGAGGUAAAAAAAAAUGACAUUAAUUUUAGUGAUUUUUAUUUAACCUAACAUAUCCAAAAUACUGUUUCAGCAUAUAAUCAGUGCAAUAAAUUAUUGAGCUAUUUCUGUUUUGGGGGCACUAGGUCUUUGA